UACGUAGGGUGCAAGCGUUAAUCGGAAUUAUUGGGCGUAAAGGGUGCGCAGGCGGUUGACUAAGACGGAUGUGAAAGCCCUGGGCUCAACCUGGGAACUGCAUACGUGACUGGUCAACUAGAAUAUGGCAGAGGGAGGUCGAAUUCCACAUGUAGCAGUGAAAUGCGUAGAUAUGUGGAGGAAUACCGAUGGCGAAGGCAGCCUCCUGGGUCAAUAUUGACGCUCAGGCACGAAAGCGUGGGGAGCAAACAGG
rnacentral:rRNA from 1 species